rnacentral:rRNA from 1 species
UACGUAGGGGGCGAGCGUUGUCCGGAUUUAUUGGGCGUAAAGAGCUCGUAGGCGGUUCGAUAAGUCGGACGUGAAAUCUCCACGCUCAACGUGGAGGGGCCGUUCGAUACUGUCGUGACUCGAGUCCGGUAGGGGAGUGUGGAAUUCCCGGUGUAGCGGUGAAAUGCGCAGAGAUCGGAAGGAACACCCGUAGCGAAGGCGGCACUCUGGGCCGGUACUGACGCUGAGGAGCGAAAGCGUGGGGAGCAAACAGG